UGUGAGUAAAGUGGCGUACGGGUGAGUAACACGUGGAAAUCUACCUCUUGGCGGGGAAUACCUCUGGGAAACCGGAGACAAUACCGCAUAAGCUCGGAAGAGGAAACCCCGAAAGGGGGCCGGGAGAGGAGUCCGCGGCCGAUUAGCUAGUUGGUAGGGUAAAAGCCUACCAAGGCAAAGAUCGGUAGCCGGCCUGAGAGGGCACACGGCCACACUGGCACUGAAACACGGGCCAGACUCCUACGGGAGGCAGCAGUGGGGAAUCUUGCACAAUGGGGGCAACCCUGAUGCAGCGACGCCGCGUGAGCGAUGAAGCCCUUCGGGGUGUAAAGCUCUUUCGACAGGAACGAUAAUGACGGUACCUGGAGAAGAAGCUGCGGCUAACUACGUGCCAGCAGCCGCGGUAAUACGUAGGCAGCAAGCGUUGUUCGGAGUUACUGGGCGUAAAGAGUGCGUAGGCGGUGCCCCAAGUCUGUUGUGAAAUCUCCCGGCUUAACUGGGAGGGUGCGGUGGAAACUGGGGUGCUCGAGUGUGGGAGAGGUAAGCGGAAUUCCUGGUGUAGCGGUGAAAUGCGUAGAUAUCAGGAGGAACACCGGCGGUGUAGACGGCUUACUGGACCACGACUGACGCUGAGGCACGAAAGCGUGGGUAGCAAACAGGAUUAGAUACCCUGGUAGUCCACGCCCUAAACGAUGCAUACUUGGUGUGAGCGAUUCAUUUCGUUCGUGC
rnacentral:rRNA from 1 species